GCCGAAGGGGGCGCUGUCACUUUAACAGGAGGGGACACUAUUCAACGCGGGAACUGACUACGACGUAACACCUGUAUGAAAAAACAAACGGAACGCUUCCUUCAAUUUCAGAAAAUCUACGUUGUUGAUGUUGUCCACCUCCUCGUCCUGAUCGGUUUCCUUUCGCUCUUUGAUUGGUCCACGCUGGCAUAGGAGGCUCCAAUUCUCCUGGUCGUCCUCCUCUGUCUGGUACGCUGCCCAUCAACAUCUGUCGUACCUUGUAGACGGGGGUGCUUGUUCCAGCCCUGAUCGGCUCCAUGAGGAACUUAUCCUCUCUGGCGGCGAUCAGAAGAGCAGAGGACACUCGGGAGGAGCCAGAGAGGGA